rnacentral:rRNA from 1 species
CAGCGCCACGAGUGGUAACCACGUUUAUUGGGCCUAAAGCGUCCGUAGCCGGUUUGAUAAAUCUUUUGUGAAAUUGUACAGCUUAACUGUACAGCGUGCAAGAGACACUGUCAAACUUGAGACCGGGAGGAGUCAGAAGUAUUCCAGAGGGAGCGGUAAAAUGUUAUAAUCUCUGGAGGACUACCUGUGGCGAAGGCGUCUGACCAGAACGGAUCUGACGGUGAGGGACGAAGGCUAGGGGAGCGAUCCGGAUUAGAUACCCGAGUAGUCC